GCGAGGCGUGCUCGCGGGGCUGGGGGUACCCAGUAGACCGAGCAAGGGGAGACCGAGCAAGGGGACUCCUCACACGGAGAUUGGGGAUCCCGCAGACUGAGGGAGAGGACUCCUAAAAUCGAGGGAGGGGACCCCGCAGACCGAAGGAAAGGAUCCCUGGAGGGGACCGCUCACACGGAGCUUGGGGACCCCGCAGACCGAGAAAGAGGUCUCCUCAUAUCGAGGGAGGGGACCCCGCAGACGGAGCGAGGGGACCUCUCAGACGGACGGAGGGAACUCCUCAGACGGACGGAGGGGAACCUGCAGGCCGAAGAAGAGGAUUCCUCAGACUCCGCUUAGACUGAGGUAGCGGACUCCACCGACUGAGGGAGUGGACCAAGGGGAGAUUAUUGAAGGCUGCGCCUGAGGGGAUAGAUCUGAAGGCUGAGGGAAACGUCCAAAACUUAAGACGGGUCUGAUAAUUGACUCCCAAAGAGAGGAAGGACGGUGAGGAGUGAUCCCAAAGACUGAUGGCAGAGGCCGAGGGAGAGACUCCGGUCUGAGGGAGGCCGCACCUGCUGGAAGGAGUGGAGGUGAUGCUGGGCCGCUAAGGCGAGAGAGCUGCGAUGAGGACCUGAGCGCUGGGGUGCGGGAAAGAGUGCAGAUGCCGCUGGAGGAGCUGGUGCUGCGCGGGAAUCAGCAUGUCGCAAGCCAGGCAGUGAGCAGCCUCGAUCUUCUUGAAGAAGUGCUCGUGGCCAAUUCCUGUUGAUGAAACCCAUGUCAUACCUCUCUGUGGAUUUAGAACAGAUUCUGAGACAGGCAUCAGCUGCUUUCCAGGAAUGUGGGGUCAGAAUAGCCAGUCUCUACCCCGGGGUAUUUAUUACUUCAACUUUUCUCAUCUUUCGGCCCAAGAAGGAAAAAACUUCAGAGUGCUUCAUAUCACUCUGAGGGAUUGGGAGACGGCACCAAAUGAAAUCAGGAGAGGGUGGCACUGCACCAAGUGGCAGCUCACUCACAGGUGGCUGCCAAGCCCCUAGCAGAUGACAGCCUUGUCUCAACUGCUCCAAAGAUGCUUCUGGAUUUCUUCAUCUUCAAAGCUACGAAACUUGCAUACGGAACAGGCAAACUGAAUCCUGGAGAAGAGAAAUGAUGCAGGGGU